rnacentral:rRNA from 1 species
AAACUAAGGAUUAGAUACCCUAUUAUUUAAAAUAUAAUUAUAAAUACUUAAGUAGUAGUAGUUAUGUUCUUGAAACUUAAAAAAUUUGGCGGUAUUUUAGUCUAUCCAGAGGAACCUGUUUUGUAAUCGAUAAUCCACGAUGGACCUUACUUAAGUUUGUAAUCAGUUUAUAUACCGUCGUUAUCAGAAUAUUUUAUAAGAAUAAAAAUAUUCAAUAAUUUAUAUUAAAAUUUAUAUCAGAUCAAGGUGUAGCUUAUAUUUAAGUAAUAAUGGGUUACAAUAAAAAUAUUUAAACGAAUAAAAUAAUGAAAAAAUUUUUGAAGGUGGAUUUGGUAGUAAAAUUAUAAAGAUUAAUAAUUUGAUUUUAGCUCUAAAAUAUGUACACAUCGCCCGUCGCUCUUAUUAUUAAGGUAAGAUAAGUCGUAACAUAGUA